AUAAGUGCCUGAAGGAGAGAAACCAUCAAGUAAUUAAAAACAAAUUCAAGUUUCUAUAGGAAUACUAGUUUCUUCAAUUUCUGGUAUCAUUGUUGGUGCAAAAUGGAUGCCAUAUUGAGCUACCUAGUUAUGUUUAUGAUGAUGACUUUGGCAGUAGUUCAAGCCCAACUAAGAACAGGGUUUUAUUCUAGUUCAUGCCCAAGUGCUGAGGCCAUUAUACGGUCCACUGUUGAAUCUCACUUCAACAAAGAUCCUACCAUUGCUCCUGGCCUUCUCAGGCUUCAUUUCCAUGAUUGCUUUGUACAGGGGUGCGAUGGUUCAAUUUUGAUUGCAGACUCUUCUGCAGAAAGGAAUGCAGUGCAAAACAUUGGUCUAAGAGGUUUUGAAGUCAUUGAUGAUGCAAAAUCACAGAUAGAAGCUACAUGCCCUGGAGUUGUCUCAUGUGCUGACAUUCUAGCAUUGGCAGCCAGGGAUGCAGUCCAUUUGAGUGGUGGUCCAAGUUGGCUAGUACCAACAGGAAGAAGAGACGGGAGGAUUUCUUCAUCAAAUCAAGCCUCAAACAUGCCUUCUCCGCUUGACCCGGUUUCUGUCCAGAAGCAAAAAUUUUCAGCCAAAGGUCUAGAUGUUCAUGACCUUGUCACCUUAUUAGAAUCAAUCAUGUAUUGUUGAAUGCGAUAUCACUAAAGAUGUUGAAAAAACUCGCUCAAGGCUGGCUUGAACACAGUUUUGGGGGAAAAAGCUUGCAUGCAUCAGAUUGGCCCAGCAAAAAAAAAUGGUGGGGAAAAAGAUCACCGAAACUUAAUUGAGCUUCGUUUGGGUGAAAAUGCGGCUCAAAAGAUAAAAAUAAAUUGUGGUCUUGGAGGUUCAAUGCUACCUGUAUUCGUUUUGGACAGAUCUGUGGAGCUCUGAUGCUGUUGGAGAAGUGUUAUUCCUUUUUUCAAGUUAUCUUAGGAAGUUACCAAACCAACUAUACUCAAGAUCUGCGAAAUGUAUUGUGGCAUAUAUACAGCAAGAUGCAGAAUAAGGAAAAAGGAUACACCCUAUUGUACACUUCGAUAUAAGCAUUUAUGACCAUGGAGACAUUUUGUGCAUAGUAAACUUCAGAUAUAAUUUGUGGCUCAACCACCUCGAGGGAUCUUGGUAUGGUUGCAUAAAUCCUGCCACCCUGUGACAACGAAGUGAAUACUUAAAGAGUCUCCUACCAGGUUGAGAAGUAGUGGAGAGUUUCAGGUCUCCCGCCAGGAUUGUUUAAUGACAAAAAGUGGAUAUUUGAAUUAUAUAUAUGACUGGUUUACUUCAUGUGCAUUGUAAUGUCAGAUUUACCCAUUGUAUGUUGCUUAAAUUUCUUACUUACCCUGCAUGCCACUUGUCAUUCAAGAAACUGCUACACGUGUCGAGCGUAGAACCAUUACUUGUCUCCUAUUAUAUAUUAAUAGAUUGGUGCAAUUAAGAUCUCGAAAAUUAUUUUAAUAUACGCGGUCAAUCUCAGGGACUAUUUUAAAACUUAAUUCAAAAUUUCACAAUUUUGUUUCAUCUAAUAAUAGAUGAUAAAUGAGUUAGACGUGUAAAAUUCAUACU